GUGAUUCCCGUUACCUCCCUUUCCCUUUCAUUCAUACCUCUCUCCUUCAUUCUUCCCCUCCAUCGCUCUCCAUCCGAGACUAAACAGUUGGAAAGACACUCCACUUUUACUCGACAUCGUUGAUCUGAUCGAAGGGCUUGCUGGCCAGUAUCAAUGUCCACAAAUAGCAUUCAAUCAUUUUUCCCCAAACGCUGCGUUUUGGUCGAUCUCUGAGUUAAGGUCAGUAACAAUAUUAUAUCGUCAGAAUAGAAGGUU